UACGGGGGGGGCAAGCGUUGUUCGGAAUUACUGGGCGUAAAGGGCUCGUAGGCGGCCAACUAAGUCGGACGUGAAAUCCCCAGGCUCAACCUGGGAACUGCAUCCGAUACUGGAUGGCUUGAAUUCGGGAGAGGGAUGCAGAAUUCCAGGUGUAGCGGUGAAAUGCGUAGAUAUCUGGAGGAAUACCGGUGGCGAAGGCGGCAUCCUGGACCGACAUUGACGCUGAGGAGCGAAAGCCAGGGGAGCAAAGCGGGG
rnacentral:rRNA from 1 species